AACAGAACACAAUCUUCAUCAUCACACAAGACAAAGGAACAACAAUGAACACAAUCACCUUCUUCAUCUGGACUCUCACACUGUUUAUUCAAGGUUUCAGUGGACAGGUGACUGUGACUCAAACCCCUUCUGUAAAAACGGUUCAGAUUGGUGAAUCAGUGACUAUAAACUGCAAAACAAACACAGUAGUGAGCAAUGCCUGUUAUGGUUCAUAUACUUGUAUGGCCUGGUACCAGCAGAAACCUGGAGAAACUCCUAAACUCAUGUUUCAUUCUGCAAACCAAAGAGUCUCAAACACUCCAUCUAGAUUCAGUGGCAGUGGAUCCAGAACUGAUUUUACUCUGACCAUCAGUGGAGUCCAGACUGAAGAUACAGGAGAUUAUUACUGUCAGAGUUUACACUGUCCUAGUAGCUGUGUGUUCACACAGUGAUAAAGAGUGGUACAAAAACCUCGGUCAGUCAGACGUCACAGUGAUGCACUGAUACAGCUGAGAGAUACUGCAGCUGCUGAUGGAGGAUCACAAACAACACAAUGGAGUAUCAAACCUUUCAGAGACUUUAUUUAUUAUGAUGUUUUUAGUAAACAUGUAACAUACAAUCUUAUAUCCCUUACUAAAUUGGACUAAAAUGUGGAGAAAAUGUGAGCGGUGCUCGUCCACUUUACACUAUAAUAUUAUCUGUAUUAUUUACUGUAGGAAAGUCAAUAGACCAAUUUGGUGUUUGCAAACAGCGAUGACGUUUUUUAUGGGCGGAGCCUACCUGGUUGCAGAAAAUGACAGUUGAGCAGUAGCAGUCUAUGGAAGCCACGAAAUAAAAGAAUAAAAAAAAGUUAAUUUCGAGUUUAUAUCUCACAAUUCUGACUUUUAUUUCUCGCAAACCUGAGUUUAUAUCUCACAUUUCUUACAAAGAAAAACAGAAUUGUGAGAUAUGCUCCUUAUCCUGUAACUCGUUAUACUCGUUUCCUGAAUUGCAAUUUAUCCCGCAAUUCUGACUUUUUUCCCCUCAGAAUUGUGAAAUAAACUCACAAUUGCGAGUUAUAAUGGCCGAACUGGGAGUCAUAAACACGCAAAUGCAAGAAAAAAAGUCA